AGUGCUUUAAUUUAAUGGUAAAAUAUUCCUCUGUGGAUGGAAAUCCGAAGGUUCAAUUCCUUCAAGUGCUC